rnacentral:piRNA from 1 species
UUUUCAACCUACUCUUGGUACACAUUCCCGA